rnacentral:rRNA from 1 species
UCCAGACUCCUACGGGAGGCAGCAGUGAGGAAUAUUGGUCAAUGGGCGGGAGCCUGAACCAGCCAAGCCGCGUGAAGGAAGAAGGCGCCAGGCGUCGUAAACUUCUUUUGUCGGGGAACAAAGGGCGCCACGCGUGGCGUUGUGAGUGUACCCGAAGAAAAAGCAUCGGCUAACUCCGUGCCAGCAGCCGCGGUAAUACGGAGGAUCCAAGCGUUAUCCGGAUUUAUUGGGUUUAAAGGGUGCGUAGGCGGUUUGAUAAGUUAGAGGUGAAAUACCGGUGCUCAACACCGGAACUGCCUCUAAUACUGUUGAACUAGAGAGUAGUUGCGGUAGGCGGAAUGUAUGGUGUAGCGGUGAAAUGCUUAGAGAUCAUACAGAACACCGAUUGCGAAGGCAGCUUACCAAACUAUAUCUGACGUUGAGGCACGAAAGCGUGGGUAGCAAACAGGAUUAGAUACCCGUGUA